AUUGAACGCCGGCGGCAGGCCUAACACAUGCAAGUCGAGCGGGGUUUUCGGACCUAGCGGCGGACGGGUGAGUAAUGCGUAGGAAGCUGCCCGAUAGAGGGGGAUACCAGUUGGAAACGACUGUUAAUACCGCAUAAUGUCUACGGACCAAAGUGUGGGACCUUCGGGCUACAUGCUAUCAGAUGCGCCUACGUGGGAUUAGCUAGUUGGUGAGGUAAUGGCUCACCAAGGCGACGAUCUCUAGCUGGUUUGAGAGGAUGAUCAGCCACACUGGAACUGAGACACGGUCCAGACUCCUACGGGAGGCAGCAGUGGGGAAUAUUGGACAAUGGGCGCAAGCCUGAUCCAGCCAUGCCGCGUGUGUGAAGAAGGCCUUCGGGUUGUAAAGCACUUUCAGCGAGGAGGAAGGGUGGUGUGUUAAUAGCACAUCAUUUUGACGUUACUCGCAGAAGAAGCACCGGCUAACUCUGUGCCAGCCGCCGCGGUAACAC
rnacentral:rRNA from 1 species